UACGGAGGGGGCUAGCGUUGUUCGGAAUUACUGGGCGUAAAGCGCACGUAGGCGGCUUUGCAAGUUAGAGGUGAAAGCCCGGGGCUCAACUCCGGAAUUGCCUUUAAAACUGCAUCGCUAGAAUUGUGGAGAGGUAAGUGGAAUUCCGAGUGUAGAGGUGAAAUUCGUAGAUAUUCGGAAGAACACCAGUGGCGAAGGCGACUUACUGGACACAUAUUGACGCUGAUGCGCGAAAGCGUGGGGAGCAAACAGG
rnacentral:rRNA from 1 species